CCUACGGUCGGCAGCAGUGAGGAAUAUUGGUCAAUGGGCUUACGCCUGAACCAGCAAAGUCGCGUGAGGGAAGACUGCCCUAUGGGUUGUAAACCUCUUUUUUCAGGGCGCAACGCCUGCUACGUGUAGCCGGACUAGGAGUACCUGACGAAAAAGCAUCGGCUAACUCCUUGCCAGCAGCCGAGGUAAUACGGAGGAUGCGAGGGUUAUCCGGAUUUGUUGGGUUUAAAGGGAGCGUAGGGGGAAUGCCAAGUCAGCGGUAAAAUCGCGGGGCUCAACCUCGCUCCGCCGUUGAAACUGGCGUUCUUGAGUGGGCGAGAAGUAUGCGGAAUGCGUGGUGUAGCGGUGAAAUGCAUAGAUA
rnacentral:rRNA from 1 species